rnacentral:rRNA from 1 species
UAAUACGUAGGGUGCGAGCGUUGUCCGGAAUUACUGGGCGUAAAGAGCUCGUAGGCGGUUUGUCGCGUCGUCUGUGAAAUUCUGCAACUCAAUUGCAGGCGUGCAGGCGAUACGGGCAGACUUGAGUACUACAGGGGAGACUGGAAUUCCUGGUGUAGCGGUGAAAUGCGCAGAUAUCAGGAGGAACACCGGUGGCGAAGGCGGGUCUCUGGGUAGUAACUGACGCUGAGGAGCGAAAGCGUGGGGAGCGAACAGGAUUAGAUACCCUGGUAGUCCACGCCGUAAACGGUGGGUACUAGGUGUGGGGCUCAUUUCACGAGUUCCGUGCCGUAGCUAACGCAUUAAGUACCCCGCCUGGGGAGUACGGCCGCAAGGCUAAAACUUAAAUGAAUUGACGG